rnacentral:tRNA from 1 species
CAGUUGUCGUGGGUUCGAAUCCCAUUAGCCACCCCAUUAUUAGAAGUUGUGACAAUGCGAAGGUGGCGGAAUUGGUA